AUUGAACGCUGGCGGCACGCUUAACACAUGCAAGUCGAGCGGUAACAUGAUCUGUAGCAAUACAGAUUGAUGACGAGCGGCGGACGGGUGAGUAACACGUAGGAACCUGCCCAAAAGCGGGGGAUAACCAAGGGAAACUUUGGCUAAUACCGCGUAAUCUCGAGAGAGGAAAGCUGCCCGCAAGGGUGGUGCUUUUGGCGGGGCCUGCGCCCGAUGAGCUAGUUGGUGAGGUAAUAGCUCACCAAGGCGAUGAUCGGUAGCUGGUCUGGGAGGACGACCAGUCACACUGGGACUGAGACACGGCCCAGACUCCUACGGGAGGCAGCAGUGGGGAAUCUUGGACAAUGGGGGCAACCCUGAUCCAGCGAUGCCGCGUGGGUGAAGAAGGCCUUCGGGUUGUAAAGCCCUUUAGGUCGGGAAGAAGUGUGUAGGUUGAAUAAUCCUAUACAUUGACGGUACCGACAGAAUAAGCACCGGCAAACUCUGUGCCAGCAGCCGCCGUAA
rnacentral:rRNA from 1 species